AGCAAUAUUCCCGGUAUAGUGGCGCACGGGUGAGUAACACGUAAGCAAUCUACCUUUAGGUUUGGGAUAACUUCGAGAAAUCGGAGCUAAUACCGGAUGAUGCAGCGGCACCACAUGGUGAUGUUGUUAAAGUUCUUGAAACGCCUAGAGAUGAGCUUGCGUCUGAUUAGCUAGUUGGUAGGGUAAAGGCCUACCAAGGCAACGAUCAGUAGCUGGUCUGAGAGGAUGAUCAGCCACACUGGAACUGAGACACGGUCCAGACUCCUACGGGAGGCAGCAGUGAGGAAUAUUGGGCAAUGCCCGUAAGGGUGACCCAGCAACGCCGCGUGGAGGAUGAAUGCCGUAAGGUUGUAAACUCCUGUUAGAGGGGACGAAAAAUUCCGGUAACACCGGAACUUGACGGUACCCUCAGAGAAAGCCCCGGCUAACUACGUGCCAGCAGCCGCGGUAAUACGUAGGGUCCAAGCGUUGUCCGGAUUUACUGGGUAUAAAGGGUGCGUAGGCGGACCUGUACGUCGGGGGUUAAAUAUCCAGGCUCAACCUGGAAAAUGCCUUCGAAACGGCGGGUCUUGAGUGCGAGAGAGGAUGGUAGAAUUCUUGGUGUAGCGGUGAAAUGCGUAGAUAUCAAGAGGAAUACCAGUGGCGAAGGCGGCCAUCUGGCUCGUUACUGACGCUCAGGCACGAAAGCGUGGGGAGCAAACAGGAUUAGAUACCCCGGUAGUCCUGGCCC
rnacentral:rRNA from 1 species